UACGUAGGGUGCGAGCGUUAAUCGGAAUUACUGGGCGUAAAGCGUGCGCAGGCGGUUUUGUAAGCCAGAUGUGAAAGCCCCGGGCUUAACCUGGGAAUGGCAUUUGGGACUGCAAGGCUUGAGUGCGGCAGAGGAGACUGGAAUUCCUGGUGUAGCAGUGAAAUGCGUAGAUAUCAGGAGGAAUACCGAUGGCGAAGGCAGGUCGUCUGGGCUGACACUGACGCUCAUGCACGAA
rnacentral:rRNA from 1 species